ACCCUAGGUCUAGUGGGAUUACUUGUUGAGUUUAAGCAUUUCAAUAAGUGAAGGAAAAAAAACUUACCAGAAUUCUUAUAGUAAUAGUGAGUGAACCAAGAAGAGCCUAACUUGAGAAUGAAGUGCCUCCAACAUCCUAAUUGUAGUUUAGAGAAACAUCUUCAACGGCAGACCAUGCCUAAGUCCCCUAGAAAAGAGCACUUGAGAGGGUGAGAGACCCAUUAUGCUUGGACCCUAUUGCACUAUGAGGCAUUGUUUAUGAGUCGAGUUGUUUGGAAAUGUAGCACCAAUCAGGCAAUAAAUUCCAUCCAAGGCUGAAUAUGAGAAAGAGACCGAUAGUGAACAAAUAUCAUGAAGGAAAUAUGAAAAGAGUUUUGGAAAGAGAGUCAAAGACUGCUUAAAAUUAUCCAAAGGGAAGCAGAUAGGGGUCGAUAAUUCAUCCCAGUCAAAAGUGGAAUGACGAGAGCUUGUUCACCUAUCAGCUUAGGGCAUAGGCUAAUGCAAGUCAUGAUGUCGGCCCAAGCCUGAGCUUUUGAUAUGCCCAUAAAGAUGUCAUCAUAGUGAUCAUGCAAUGCAGCAUGCACCAUCUUGACAAGCCCCGACACUGACAUGCUCCAAGCAUCAGCUUGUAGGCUCUCCAUAUAGCCCAUCUUGAAACAUGGACCAAAGAGUCUGACAUGUGUAUAAGUCAAUGGGCUAGAAAACCCAUAAAGCGUAAGAAAGCUUAUUGGUGAGAUCCCUUGUGGGUGCACCACCGAUUGACCUUGAUCUUUUGAAAAAAGUUCAAGUGUGGGCAUGCUUGAUUAGGGCAAAGCUAGAGGAAACUCUGGUGGAGGCCCACAACGAUACUGAUGUGCAAAUUGUUUGUUUGACUUUGGUAUGGGGGUGAAAGACUAAUCGAACCAUAUAGUAGUUGGUUCCCUUCAAAGUAUCCCUUAAAAUAACUGGAGCUAGCGAGUUCUACAAGUAAAACCAAUGAUUAGAGACAUCGGGGGUGCAACACCCUCUACUUAUUCUCAAACUUUAAAUAGGUAGGAUAAUGUGGCUACUUCAUUCAAGCAUGCCACAAAAUUGAGAACUCCAAGUGGGCAAUCUUUAGAAAGCUGCACUGAUGAUGGGGGAUGAAUUGGAAGCUAGGUUACAAUGCCUAACUACACACUAACCUAGAACCCACAAAGGGUGUUAGUUGAAUAAGAUAAUAAGAUAGAGAUCAUGGAAGUUAAAAUCCAUUAAAGAGUGUGUAACAACUCACCUGUUGAAUCAACUAGCCCUAAAAAUGGAUGGCACUUAAGUGCAUGACCUAUACUCGACUGUCUGGUACAGGGCCAGGCCUCGAUAAGGAGGAAGGCACAGUGGUCACUGCAAAACCAAAGGUGCAAGCUCAGGCAGAGUGGCCAUCAUUGCAGAUCUUGGUGGUUGUAGCAAAUAUUCAAAUGAGAACUUUGAAGGCUGUAGUAGGGAAAGGUUCUGUGUAAAUGGCACUUGCACAUAGGUUAGUUUAUCCUAAAAGAUAGGGAAGCCCAUCCAAUAGCAUGUUCGACGUGAGCUUCGAAAAAGAAUUUGAUUAAAAUUCUUGAAUUGGGAUGCGAUGGUUGACAACAACGUUAGGGAGUCUAAAGACGUGGGGGCCUUGGAAAGUGUUAUCUGACAGCAACAUUAGGGAGUCUAGAGACAUGGGGGCCUUGGAAAGUGUUAUCUUUUCUAUUUAAUAGCUUGCCCACCCUGCUCAGCUAGAAGUAAGGUCAAGUGGUUGGAAAAGCAGUGCAUGUCACAUCGUGUCUGGUGUGUCCCUGAUGGCCCUUGAAAAUCCAAUGAACGAAAUGUCUUUUGCACUUGGUCAUACUCAUAACCACAUCAGGUCUCCAAAGUGAACAACCUAUGGUCGAUGGAACAAUGUAGGCAAGGAAAGUUAGCAAAAAGAUUGGCUCUGAAGGUUGGGCAUAGAGGUCCCAGUCCCAAACCUAUUGACUAUCAGUGGACUAGUAGAGUUACUCCCAUGACAAAAAUGGGUCAUUGCGUGUCAGUCAGAGGAUGAACUAGGAAUAGCUUCAUUGAGGGCCUGUUUCGACUAAUGAACAAUUGAAUCAAAAUUAGUAUGGACAUGGGGAAUCAAUUAUUUAAUUAAAACAAAGCAUUGCAAUGGUCCUUUUGGAUGCUUAUGCAAUGUGAUUUUUGCUUAGUGCUUUGAUUGUCAAAGUGAAAAAAUUCAACCAAGCAUGGGUAAAUGGCAGGAGCAACUACGACUCUCUUAAGGUAGCCAAAUGCCUCGUCAUCUAAUUAGUGACACACAUGAAUGGAUUAACAAGAUUCCCACUAUCCCUGUCUAUUAUCCAGGGAAACCAUAGCCAAGGGAAUAGGCUUGGUAGAAUUAGUGGGAAAAGGAGACCUUACUGAGCUUGACUCUAGUCUAACUUUAUGAAAUGACUCGAGAGGUGUAGGAUAAGUGGGAGCCUUCAGGUGAAAUUGAAAUACCACUACUUUUAAUGUUAUCUUACUUAUUGUGUGAAUUAGAGGUAGGGCACGACCCUUUCUUUGAGACCUAAGGCUAACCUUGGUGAGUCAAACUAGACGAAAGACAUUGUUACAUUUAGAGUUUGGUUAGGGCAGCACAUUUAUUAAAAGAUAAUGCAGGUGUCCUAAGAUGAGCUCACAAGAAUAGAAAUCUUAUGUUGAACAAAAGGGUAAAAGCUUGUUUGAUUCUAAUUUCCAGUAUGAACAUGAACAAUGAAAGUGUGGCCUAUCAAUCCUUUAGACUUUCAGAAUUUGAAGUGAGAGGUGUCCAAAAAGUUAACACUAGAUAACUAGCUUAUGGUAGCCAAUCAUUCAUAGCAAAGUUGAUUUUUGAUCCUUAGAUGUUGGCUCUUCCUGUCAUUAUGAAGUAGAAUUCACCAAGUCUUGGAUUGUUCACCCACCAACAAAGAAUGUGAGUUAGCUUUAGACCAUCAUAAGAUAGGUUAGUUUUACCCUACUGAUGGCAAUGUUGCAAUAGUAACUCAAUAUAGUACGAGAAGAACCAUUGAUUCACACAAUUGGUCAUCAUGCUUGGUUGGAAAGCUAGUGGCGCGAAGCUAUUAUGUUCUAGAUUAUGACCUCUAAGUCAAAAUUUAGGCUAGAAGCAAUGCACAUGCCUACUACCUGAUUGCUAACUUGUAGGGGCCCAUGGCCCCUGUGGGCAUGUCAUAUGUGCAACCCCAAUGGUGGACAAGCCGCGCAGGCCUCCUUGGAGAUCAAUUCCCAUCAAGUAAUAGGUAGAAUCCUUUGUAG
rnacentral:rRNA from 1 species